UCCCUGAUGUGUGCGUGUGUGUGUGUGUGUGUGUGUAUAUAUAUAUAUAUACACACACACACACACACACACAUACAUUUAUUU
rnacentral:miRNA from 1 species